GCAACUGCCAUGGAUGUUUACAGGAACCCAGCCAGAGUUUGCCUCCCUGCACUUCAUCCCAGAGCGCACCUGCUUCCUCCACUUCACCUUCGGAGAGGACACUUCAAACUGCGGACACACGCAAAAGCAACUCCCAGCUCUGUUUGAUGUUACUCGUUCCUCAGCAAGUUGGCAAAACAGAUAUCAUGCUGGCAAUUGAAAAGCUGCAGGCGGGUGCUCUUGCAACUGACGCAGUCACUGCAGCACUGGUGGAACUUGAGAUCUGUUUGAGGAGAUGGUGCCUGUGUCAGUGUGGCAGUCUUUGGCUGCCUGUGAUCAGAGGAAAGCCGAUUUGUUAACAGAUCAAUUGCUCAGAUGAGAGAAGCCACCACUUUGGCAAAUGGAGUGCUAGCUUCCCUUAAUCUUCCAGCAGCAAUUGAAGAUGUGUCUGGAGACACUGUACCUCAGUCUAUAUUGACUAAAUCAAGAUCUGUGAUUGAACAGGGAGGCAUCCAGACUGUUGAUCAGUUGACUAAAGAACUGCCUGAAUUACUGCAAUGAAAUAGAGAAAUCCUAGAUGAGUCAUUAAGGUUUUUGGAUGAAGAAGAAGCAACCGAUAAUGAUUUAUGAGCAAAAUUUAAGGAACGCUGGCAAAGGACAUCAUCCAAUGAACUGUAUAAGCCUUUAAAAGCAGAGGGAACCAGCUUCAGAACAGUUUUAGAUAAAGCUGUGCAAGCAGAUGGACACGUGAAAGAAUGUUACCCGUCUCAUCGUGACCCCAUCGUGCUUUUGUGUAAGCCAGAGCCUGAGCUGAAUGCUGCCAUCCCUUCUGCUAAUCCAGCAAAGACCAUGCAGGGCAGUGAGGUUGUAAAUGUCUUAAAAUCCUUAUUGUCAAAUCUUGAUGAAGUAAAGAAGGAAAGAGAGGGUCUGGAGAAUGACUUGAAAUCUGUGAAUUUUGACAUGACAAGCAAGUUUUUGACAGCCCUGGCUCAAGAUGGCAUGAUAAAUGAAGAAGCUCUUUCUGUUACUGAACUAGAUCGAGUCUAUGGAGGUCUUACAACUAAAGUCCAAGAAUCUCUAAAGAAACAGGAGGGACUUCUUAAAAAUAUUCAGGUCUCACAUCAGGAAUUUUCGAAAAUGAAGCAAUCUAAUAAUGAAGCUAACUUAAGAGAAGAAGUUUUGAAGAAUUUAGCUACUGCAUGUGACAACUUUGUUGAACUUGUAGCUAAUUCGAAGGAAGGCACAAAGUUUUACAAUGAGUUGACUGAAAUCCUGGUCAGGUUCCAGAACAAAUGCAGCGAUAUAGUUUUGGCAUGGAAGACAGAAAGAGAUGAACUCUUAAAGCCUGAGACCUGGGAGGAAGCUGGAGAAAAGAUGCCCUCUGAAUCUUUGUGUUUGGCUGCCCAGGCUCGCCUUGACACCGAAUGGUUGAAAACAGAUAUACAGAUGGUAGUGUCGAACCAAGUGGAACAAAGAAAGAAGAUCUGAAUGACAAAGAGAAAAAAAAUGAAGACGAAACUCCUGCACCUGUAUAUAGGGCCAAGUCAAUUCUGGAGACCUGGGUGUGGGUCAAGCAACCAGGAAACGGAAGCCCAAAGAGGAGGGGAGCUUACAGCAGGCCCUGGACUAGGGAUUAACACAAAAACAACAGCAACAAAUCUGAUUUAAGCUUCACACAUAUACUCGGGAGACUGAGGCAGGAGAAUCGCUUGAACCUGGGAUGCAGAGGUUGCAGUGAGCCGAGAUCGCACCAUUGCACUCCAGCCUGGGCGACAGAACGAAACUGUGUCUCAUAAAACAAAUAUAACUGAAAUGGUAAUGUGUUUCUUUAAAACUGAAGAAAAUGUGCAAGGUGGAUGUCUUCCUGUCACUUCGCACAGCCUACUGCCAUAGCACCUGAGCCCCAGACCCUAAACUCACUGUCCUGCUCGGGGACCCCAGACCACACUGGCCAUUGAAGGCACCCCAAGUACUCUCCUAUCCUCACCUCGCUCCUGCAGUAAAUGGCUAAAUGAAUAACUCAGAAGUGAAGCCAAAAAAGAAAAAGAAAAUGCACAUGGGGAACAGGAGAGGCGAGCAGAGGCCAGUCUGGAAGCCUGGGCUGAUACGCUGUGAAGAGAU